AGUGAACGCUGGCGGUAGGCCUAACACAUGCAAGUCGAACGGCAGCACAGUAAGAGCUUGCUCUUACGGGUGGCGAGUGGCGGACGGGUGAGGAAUACAUCGGACUCUACUUUUUCGUGGGGGAUAACGUAGGGAAACUUACGCUAAUACCGCAUACGACCUACGGGUGAAAGCAGGGGAUCUUCGGACCUUGCGCGAUUGAAUGAGCCGAUGGCGGAUUGGCUAGUUGGCGGGGUAAAGGCCCACCAAGGCGACGAUCCGUAGCUGGUCUGAGAGGAUGAUCAGCCACACUGGAACUGAGACACGGUCCAGACUCCCACGGGAGGGAGCCGUGGGGAUUAGUGGACAAUGGGCGCAAGCCUGAUCCAGCCAGACCGCGUGGGGGAAGAAGGCCUUCGGGUUGUAGAGCCCUUUUGUUGGGAAAGAAAAGCAGCAGGUUAAUACCCCGCUGUUCUGACGGUACCCAAAGAAUAAGCACCGGCUAACUUAGUG
rnacentral:rRNA from 1 species